CCUAUACUAGUGUUGUCACUCUCUUGUCCAUAGUACAAUAUUUGAAUUUUGAAUUCAAAUGAAUUGGCUCUAUAAUUACAAGACAUCUUCAUUCUCUCAUACUUGGAUUUUGGCAUAACAUUUGAGAGAGAGCAUAGAGAGGUAAUCAAGUGGGAGUUUUCCAUAACUUUGGCGAAAUUCUUGGUGGCUUCCGACGGAUCUUUUCUCGGUAUAUCCAUUGUCAUUCUCGUGGACGACGGUACAUGAUUCGGUGUAGCACAAAUUUGAGCUCAACAUCAAGAACACUUCAUUGGUGGUGUUGAAAAAGCUUUGGGUCGUUUUGGUUCGAUUUUAUACUUUGAGAGUUUAUUAUUCCGUAUUGUAGCUGUAAUAAUCUUUUAUAAACUACACUUUAAACUCUACAUAAGUCUUACGGGAUGUAUAGAUAAAAUUAUAAUUU
rnacentral:lncRNA from 1 species